rnacentral:rRNA from 1 species
CACGUAGGGGGCAAGCGUUGUCCGGAUUUAUUGGGCGUAAAGAGCUCGUAGGCGGUUCGAUAAGUCGGGUGUGAAACCUCCAGGCUCAACCUGGAGACGCCACCCGAUACUGUCGUGACUAGAGUCCAGUAGGGGAGCGUGGAAUUCCUGGUGUAGCGGUGAAAUGCGCAGAUAUCAGGAGGAACACCGGUGGCGAAGGCGGGUCCCUGGGCCGAUACUGACGCUGAGGAGCGAAAGCGUGGGGAGCGAACAGG